UCAUUUAUCUAUUUUUUCCUUCUCUCCUCUCUCCUCCUCUCUCACUUUUUCUCACACAGAGACCCAAGAUCCCCUUUUCUUCAGCAGAUACAGAUCGAAACCCUAACUUCGAUUUUUAGAAUCUCUUCUCCUCAUUCUUUGUUGAACCCUAAUGAUGUUGUUUGUUUUGUAAUAUUAAGGUCCAGAAAAACACCAAUGAUAUUGUAUCUGUAUGUUGAUUCUACUUUUUAAUUUCAGAUUUCUUAGUAUUCCCAGAGAUCAAAUCCCAAGAAGUGGUGGUGGUUAUGGUGGUCCUGGAGGUUGUAGUGCAAAGAGAUGCUAUAGAGAAUUGAAGGGUUGGAGGAUCACCAAUUUAUAAAGUUGAUAGAAAGCUAUGAAAAGUUGGCUUUCGGCAAGUUUUUGUUGGUGGUCGUGUGUCAGGAGGUAGUGAAAGAGCAAAGGUUUGGGGCCGUAGAGGUGGCUUUAAAAUUUGUUCAUAGAAGCAGUAAAGGUUGCGAUUAUGGUCCUCCAUAUGAGUGGCAAGUUUAUAUCACUCUUGGUGGCAGUCAUGGAGUUUCGAGAGUACACUAUAAAGCAGUUCAAUCUUCCUGUCACCAGGGGAUUCUGUAAACAGCUACUUUCUAAUGCACAAUCUAAAGUGAAGGAUAACAAUAAGAUGUCUUAUGUUUAUUACUGUAUCACAAAAACAAGUUGUUGUAAUUAAUGAUGGAGCUGCUAAAAGAAGUGUAUCAAAGCCUGUUCAGAAGAAGGAAGUUGUGAAACCCAAGCAAGAGGAAUUAAUUGAAAUUAGUCCAGAUACAAAAGAAGGUUAAGAAGGAAAAUCCCCAAAAACAAGUUGUUGUAAUUAAUGAUGGAGCUGCUAAAAGAAGUGUAUCAAAGCCUGUUCAGAAGAAGGAAGUUGUGAAACCCAAGCAAGAGGAAUUAAUUGAAAUUAGUCCAGAUACAAAAGAAGGUUAAGAAGGAAAAUCCCCAGAAAGCACCAAGGAAGAAAGUUCAAACCUUAAUGCAGUUUUAUCUGCUCAUAGCAAGUUUGUGGACAUUGAUGGAGGAGAUACUGAUAAUCAGUUGGAAGCUGUGGAGUACGUCGUGGAUUUGUACGAGUGUUACAAGCUCGCAGAGGUGGAAAGUGCCAGGAAAGCAGCAAAGGUAGCUGCAAUAGGAAGUGCUGUUGUAGCUCUUCAUUUGGGUGGAACUUCCUGGAGAUAUUUAAAGAGUCCUCAUGGUACUCUCUUGUAGCUCUACUAUUUGAAUACCCGAAUAUUGUAUACUUAUUUCUUAUCAGAUUCUAUGACACUUAAGUCUCCUUGUAAAUUUUGGAAAACCAAAUCGAGUUAUGAGAAAAUGAACUACUGGAACCUUAUUCUUUUGUUGUCAUCUUGUAGCGAUUCUUUUCACUUUCGAUUGACAUUGGAUAAUGAUUACUACUGGUAUUCAAA